AUGAUAGCAAGGAGGAGAGGGACGCAGACGGUGCCAUGGGAGCACCUCUAGAGCCAUCGGCUUGGCUACCUUGUCGAAUCUAGGAGGGAGGAGGGCCCGAUGAUGACAGCGAGACAGAAAGGGAGAGGGGCAGCGCCAUAGGCGCACCUCCGGAGCCGCCGGCUUGGCUGCCUCACCAGAUCUGGACUAGAAGGGAACGCCAAAGGGAGGGAGGCCACAUAGAGGAGGAAGCUCGCCGGGGAGGGGGGCCGACGAUGAUGGUGAUGCGGGCCUGACGAGGACAGCGACGAUGUUGGGAUGGAGCUCGUGUUGCCUUUACUGUUGGAGAAGGAAGGUUUUGGAUCGAUGACCCAUCUUCUGGGAGAACCCAAAUCCUACUAUGGAUAGCUCGGCCGGUGGAGAAUGGCCUAAGAGAAAACUUUUUAUUAAACUUCUUUUUAACAGUAUUAGGAGAUGUUUAGUUGGGGGUGUUAAAAUUUAAUAGGUACGGUAGUAUUUUUGUCUUAUUUAGCAAUAAGUAUUCAAUUAUAGACUAAUUAGGCUUAAAAGAUUCGUCUUGUAAAAUCACUUUCUAGCUAUAUUUUUAAUUUCAUAUAUAAUUUAUAUUUAAUAUUUCA
rnacentral:lncRNA from 1 species